rnacentral:miRNA from 1 species
GCUAAAUUUAAAUCUCAGACAAACAAAGAAUAAUUUUUUGGUAUAAGUAUGUCUCACGCAAUAGUUGGGACAUACUUACACUAAAAAAAAAUCAUUGUUUAUCAAAGUCUGAGCUAACU